CCUACGGGUGGCAGCAGUGGGGAAUCUUGCACAAUGGGGGCAACCCUGAUGCAGCGACGCCGCGUGAGUGAUGAAGCCCUUCGGGGCGUAAAGCUCUUUCGGCAGGGACGAUUAUGACGGUACCUGAAGAAGCAGCUGCGGCUAACUACGUGCCAGCAGCCGCGGUAAUACGUAGGCAGCAAGCGUUGUUCGGAGUUACUGGGCGUAAAGGGUGCGUAGGCGGCUUUUUAAGUCUGUUGUGAAAUCUCCUGGCUCAACCGGGAGGGUGCGGCGGAUACUGAGAGGCUAGAGUAUGGGAGAGGAAAGUGGAAUUCCUGGUGUAGCGGUGAAAUGCGUAGAUAUCAGGAGGAACACCUGUGGUGUAGACGGCUUUCUGGACCAUAACUGACGCUGAUGCACGAAAGCGUGGGUAGCAAACAGGAUUAGAUACCCUAGUAGUC
rnacentral:rRNA from 1 species